rnacentral:rRNA from 1 species
GACGAACGCUGGCGGCGUGCUUAACACAUGCAAGUGGAGCGACGAACCGGGCUUCGGCCCGGGGCAGAGCCGCGAACGGGUGAGUAACACGUGGGUAACCUACCCCGAUGACCGGGACAACCCGAGGAAACUCGGGCUAAUACCGGAUGUGAUCCCUUCCCAUGAGGGUUGUGAUCAAAGGUAGCUUCGGCCUCCGCAUCGGGACGGGCCCGCGGCCCAUUAGCUUGUUGGUGGGGUAACGGCCUACCAAGGCUGCGAUGGGUAGCUGGUCUGAGAGGACGAUCAGCCACACUGGGACUGAGACACGGCCCAGACUCCUACGGGAGGCAGCAGUGGGGAAUCUUGCGCAAUGCACGAAAGUGUGACGCAGCAACGCCGCGUGGGGGAAGAAGGCCUUCGGGUUGUAAACCCCUUUCAGUUGGGACGAAGCUUCGCCGGUGAAUAGCCGGCUGGAGUGACGGUACCUUCACAAGAAGCCCCGGCUAACUACGUGCCAGCCGCCGCAGUAACAC